rnacentral:lncRNA from 1 species
ACGGUGCCUGGUUUGGUGGCACAUGCUCCCAGGCUGACGUUUUCUUUUUAAGGUAUUUAUAUAUACGUGUGUAUAAGUGUUUUAGCUGCGUGUAUGUCUGUGUACUAAGUAAGGGCCCAUGAAAGUCACAGGGCAUGUCAUUCCCUGGAAAUGGAGACACACUUGUGAGCUGCCACCCACGUGGGUGCUGAGAAGUAGAACCCCGAGUCCUCUGCAAGAGCAGCCAGUGCUCUUAACCCCUGAGCGAGCUCUGCAGCCCGGAGCUGACCCUCACUUUCCUCUGCUUUCUGAACAGGAGCACUUGUCUCUGCCUCUGGCAGACACAGGUGUCCCUGAGGAAGCUCAAGUUCUCCUUUNNNNNNNNNNCCCAGCUGAGAUAAGGCUAGGCAGAGGCAGGACAGGUGAUUUCCAGAAGCAUCCGUUCUUCUGUGGCCUUGAUUGGGAGAGCCUGCGAGACAGUGUGCCCCCCUUUACACCAGACUUCGAGGGUGCCACGGACACCUGCAACUUCGAUGUUGUGGAGGACCGGCUCACUGCCAUGGAGACACUGUCGGACAUGCAGGGAGACAUGCCACUUGGGGUCCACCUGCCUUUCGUGGGUUACUCCUACUCCUGCAUGGCCCCCAGAGACACUGAGGUCCCAGACCCCACCCCUAUGGAACUGGAGGCCCUGCAGUUGCCUGAGGCAGACUUGCAAGUGCUCAGCUUGGAGCCCCCAGUGUCCCCACCGGAUCAGGUGGUGAGUAUUCAAUGGAGAGGACUGACCAGCGCCAGCAGAGAGAAGGGCAGAGCCUGCUGGGUGGGUGGCCUGCGGUUUGCAGGACAGUGCAGUCACGGCUGUUGGCUGUUGGGCUGCUGCUUCAGUGAGGCCCUGUAGUCCCAGCUACUCGGGAAGAACAGGCAGAAGGAGCCCAACGUCAAGGCUGGGGUUAUGUAAUAAGACCCUGAUUGCGAGUAAAAAAAAUAACAAAGGGAAGUAGGAAGCACACCGCUCAGAGGUAGAUGCCCUCCUGGCACGGGUGUGGGGUCCAACAACAGCAGCACCAGCCAGGGCUGGGAGGGCGGGGCUGCUGAGCCCCUGGCAGAGGCUGAGUGGGGGUGUGGUCCUUGUCAGUUGGGAGAACAAGGUCAGAACCCACCAGGCGGGAUGCUGGCGCCUUACACAAAAGCUACAGGUGGGUGGGUGGCCUUGGAAGUUUGGGAGUUUGUGGAGAACAGGCCAGACACAAACCGGGGCCACGUGUGGGUAAAGCCAGGUUUGCCUGAAGCACUGUGGAAUUAGGAGGGAUGCCAGCCCCCCAGUUCCUGCACU